rnacentral:sRNA from 1 species
AUAUCUCUCUGUACGGGAAGGAUGAGAAGCUUCGACUAAGGUUCGAUUCGAGCGUCAGCGAGAAAGCGUUGCCGCAGGCAACGACCCGAAGGGCGAAGCGCGCAGCGCUGAGGCAUCCUUCCCCCACCACCA